rnacentral:rRNA from 1 species
UACAGAGGGUGCGAGCGUUGUUCGGAAUUAUUGGGCGUAAAGGGCGCGUAGGCGGUGCGGUAAGUCACCUGUGAAAUCUCCUGGCUCAACUGGGAGCUUGCAGGCGAAACUGCCGUGCUGGAGUGUGGGAGAGGUGAGUGGAAUUCCCGGUGUAGCGGUGAAAUGCGCAGAUAUCAGGAGGAACACCGAUUGCGAAGGCAGCUCGCUGGGACGUAACUGACGCUGAGACGCGAAAGCGUGGGGAGCAAACAGG